CUGCUGCCUCCCGUAGGAGUUUGGACCGUGUCUCAGUUCCAAUGUGGCCGUCCACCCUCUCAGGCCGGCUACUGAUCGUCGCCUUGGUGGGCCCCUACCCCGCCAACAAGCUAAUCAGACGCGGGUCCAUCUUACACCACCGGAGUUUUUCACACCGGGCCAUGCGGCCCUGUGCGCUUAUGCGGUAUUAGCACCUGUUUCCAGGUGUUAUCCCCCUGUGUAAGGCAGGUUACCCACGCGUUACUCACCCGUCCGCCACUCGAA
rnacentral:rRNA from 1 species